GUGUCAGCAGCCGCGGUAAGACAGAGGUGCCGAGCGUUAGGCGGAAUCACUGGGCUUAAAGCGCGUGUAGGCGGGUCGUUAAGUGCCUCGUGAAAUCCCACGGCUCAACCGUGGAACCGCGGGGCAUACUGGCGAUCUUGAGCGACCCAGGGGCGAGCGGAACAAGUGGUGGAGCGGUGAAAUGCGUAGAUAUCACUUGGAACGCCGACGGUGAAAACAGCUCGCUGGGGGUCUGCUGACGCUGAGACGCGAAAGCCAGGGGAGCGAACGGGAUUAGAUACCCCAGUAGUCC
rnacentral:rRNA from 1 species